UUUUUCGUUAUACUAUUCUCUUAUACUAAUUAUUUUAGAAACAAAAAUUCAGAAAAAACGAAUUAAAAAUUAGUAAAAUGAAGAAAAUCAUGUCAAUUGGUAUUUUUUGUUUAAUUACAAUAUUUUUGCUAUUGAAUAUUUUUAAUUCUGCUACAGGAAGAUAUAUUAAACAUAGAGGACAUAAUAAUCGUUGCAUAUGGGGUUGCUAUUGGUACGAAGUUACUUGUCACGAAACAUGGGAUGAUUGCUAAAGAAGACCAUCGCUUUUAGAAAACUAUUGACUAUUUAUUUCCUAAGAAAGCGAAAAAAAAUCCAAUUCAAUUAAUUUCUGCUGAAAGAAAAAUUUUUUUAUCCAAAAGUUGAGAAUUUGUAAAUUAAAAAAAUGGAAAAUUUUUAUAUUUUUGACAAAAAAAAUUCUAUUAAUAUACAUUUUUAAUAUAUUAUGUCAAUGUUUUCAAUAAUAAGUGUAUAAAUUUGAAAUAAAGUAAAUUUCAAAAUUA